rnacentral:rRNA from 1 species
AACGAACGCUGGCGGCAUGCCUAACACAUGCAAGUCGAACGAGACCUUCGGGUCUAGUUGCGCACGGGUGCGUAACGCGUGGGAACCUGCCCUUAGGUUCGGAAUAACUCCCCGAAAGGGGUGCUAAUACCGGAUAAUGUCUUCGGACCAAAGAUUUAUCGCCUUUGGAUGGGCCCGCGUUGGAUUAGCUAGUUGGUAGGGUAAAAGCCUACCAAGGCGACGAUCCAUAGCUGGUCUGAGAGGAUGAUCAGCCACACUGGGACUGAGACACGGCCCAGACUCCUACGGGAGGCAGCAGUGGGGAAUAUUGGACAAGGGGCGAAAGCCUGAUCCAGCAAUGCCGGGUGAGUGAUGAAGGCCUUAGGGUUGUAAAGCUCUUUUACCCGGGAUGAUAAUGACAGUACCGGGAGAAUAAGCUCCGGCUAACUCCGUG